rnacentral:snoRNA from 1 species
GAAUGUGACUUCACUUAAAAAUAGGGACUUUAACCCAUGCCAGAGCAAACUGUGUCCCCAAACCAUUGCUUGGCCUCUGUGCCCAUAGGCUGCUGGCACUGAAGUGGCUUGCACAGUG